AUGCUCGCUUCGGCAGCACAUAUACUAAAAUUGGAAUGAUGAGAAGAUUAGCAUGGCCCCUGCACAAGGAUGGCAUGAAAAUUCAUGAAGUGUUCGAUAUUUUU